ensembl:lncRNA
GUGUUUCCUGCGGGUGUGAGCGUGUGUGCUGUGUCUGCUGUGAGUGUGCCAAUCCCGCCUUCCCGUGGGGCUGGUGUCCACAGAACAAGAAGAGUGCUCACUAGCGGGACUCGGUAAAUACGUGUUGGACGGAUGGAAAACCGUUGAACGAUUCUGCAGAACGAAGACCGAACGUGCAUCUCGUGCAUGAGUCCGUGGCCUCCGCCAACGACAGACGGAUGCACCCGCGUGGGCCAUCCACACCAGGGUGGGGCGCCCCCUGCUUCAGCUCAGCCUUCCUCCCCCCGCCGCCCCCGUUGCCGGAUGCAAGCACUUGGGCGCUUGGUGUGAUGGAGGGGACUGUGUGGCGGGUCCCCCCGCAGCCCAGGCUGGGACUGCCGUCCACACUGAGUCGUGUCGAGACGCAGCAUCCAAAGCCACCGAGUGUUGUGGCGGCAACACUAUGGGCCAGACCGGCCCCUGAGAGCCGAUCCCAGAAGGUCCUCUCACACGAGGCUGCUCUUCUGCUGAAAAUCCUGACGGAGCUCAGGAACGUCUACCCCAGCGCCACAAACACCCAGCAAGGAGCUGGGUGGGGCAGCAGGACCCGGGUUCUCUGGAGCCGGGAGCAGGUGCUGGCAGAAAUCCGGAGCGCCGGGCCGAGCGCGAAGCCCAUCGGUGCCCGGCCACGCGGCCCUGGAGGCAUCGUCUUCCCCUGGGGGGGGAAAGGACGUCGCCAGAGGGGGGAGGAAGAAUCGGCCUGGCAGGUGCAAAGAACUUGGAGGUGCGGCCGGCGAGGCUCGUCCCUCUGCUGUGCAGAGCAGACCUGCGAGUGAAUACAAUGUUUCCCAAACACGCCAAGAUGCUCUGUGUGCGUGUGUCAGAAAGACAAUGAGGAAUGAGGACGGACGUGAUGGAGCCUCUGCGCCGUGGCCCCGUGCCAGCCUCGGAACAGCUGUGUGGAGCGUAAGAAUCACAGCAGCUGUAUUUAAACUAGAAAUUAAAUCUCCUUCUAUUUAAUGUGCAGUCUUUUUAGUUAUCAAAAAGGAAACAUUAGCAAUUAGGGAGUGCGUAUUUCACGGACGGCGCUGGAUUUGCUGGUUUUGUUUGGGAUGCCUGAUUCCAACACACGAGGAGGACGGCGGUGGCCAGGUUUCUUGAAAGAGAAGAGCUGUUACUACCUUUCCCUUUGUUAGCAGACGGGGGAUUUCAGACAUGCCCUUCUCCCCACGUGGAGAAAGGGCUGGGGAGACGGCAGUCAUUCGCGACUGGUGUUGGUUUGGAAUGCGGGGGUCACGGGGGAGGAGGGGAGGAAGGAGGAGAGAAGCAGAGAGGGAGAGAGAGGGAGAGAGAGAAGAGGGAGAAGGAGGAUGCAUGUAUACCCAGGCGCACAUGGAGGCCAGUUAAUGGAUGUCUGCAUUUCACGGGCAAGGCCCUGCCCGGAGGUGCGUGAGCCGAACAGUGAGCUCGGGGCCCUGGCGGGUGAAGACACGCUCUUCCUCUGCUGGCCCUCAGCGCGUCCUACACACCGGCCACUCGGAGCUCCUCCGGGAAGGGGAGGCAGGGGUGGGAGG